AAAACGGCCCUUUUCAGGGCCAAAACAUAUAACACGUCAAUGAAUAU
rfam:Pediculus humanus corporis strain TSDA 1103172085537, whole genome shotgun sequence.